ACUCCUCAAGUAAAGAGCAUAAUACUUCAACCUGAAUACGAAUAUGUUGUUAUCCAAGAGUUCUGUAAACCAGCACUAUCUCUUGGCCCUCUCCUCAGUUCAAGUUUCUGAUAGCCUGGCCUGGGCAGAAGUCCAGCUCUGUGGGAACUCCCACUCCUCAGGUUUAAUCAUGGACUCUGAUUCUUACCCCACCGAAUUGCACCAGUUCAGUAUUAGGAAAGUAUGUGGACAGCAGUGAAAGCAGUCUCUAAAUAAAGAAAGAAACCCAUCGCUUAACAGAAGUGACACAGCUCUCCCCCAAGCCAGGAACUGUGGCCACUUUUCAGGAAUAAUGUUGGCUACUGAGAGAAGAGGAAGAACCCAUUCCUUGGCAGGGCACUUCCAGCCUACAGUACCCAUGUGCAGCACUAUGACCACCACCUUCAGGCCAUGUUAGAUGGAGUAUGAGGAGAAUCCACCAGGUAAUUGCCAUGUGCUCUUCCCAUGCAUCAGGAAUGUGGCACAGUGUUCUGCUUAGGCUCUGUGAUUCCAACACCAGUGACCAUGAGGGCUGCUUCUUGCAAUGGUUCAAGACCCUGUGUGCAUAGCUGAACCCUGGAUGCCGGGUUUCCAUCCCAGCGGCAGCUAGCACUCUGCCGUCGUACUGCCGACAGUACAGUCUAGCAGAGACA